rnacentral:rRNA from 1 species
UACAGAGGUGGCAAGCGUUGUUCGGAAUUACUGGGCGUAAAGGGCGCGUAGGUGGCCUUCUUAGUCAGACGUGAAAUCCCCAGGCUUAACCUGGGAACUGCGUCUGAUACUGGAAGGCUCGAGUUCGGGAGAGGGAUGCGGAAUUCCAGGUGUAGCGGUGAAAUGCGUAGAUAUCUGGAGGAACACCGGUGGCGAAGGCGGCAUCCUGGACCGGCAUUGACGCUGAGGUGCGAAAGCGUGGGGAGCAAACAGG